rnacentral:lncRNA from 1 species
GGUAUUGGAUCUGCAUCCAAUAAGAUAAGGGCUCCAUCGGAUAUCUCAUAUCCGAACCUCUACUCAUCGCAAUGCCUACCAUAUGUGUGUGACCCUCUAGGCCCAAUAUCGAGCUGGCCGUGAGUCAUACCUGUCAGAACUCCUUCUAACUCAGUGAAUUAUUAUCUCUAUAAUAAUUCACUUAACUCAUCGACUACGGACGUACUAGGCCACUACGCCGUAGUCCCCAGACGAUACAAGGGAAUCCAAUCCAUUGGACCUGUCUGUCCUCAAUUACCGUGUACAUAUAGUCCCUCAUCCAUCUAAUAUCCCAGAGACCGUAUAUCGAGCAUGGUGCUGUCAGACCCAUACGGUUUCUACUCGAGUCUCGCUCUAAUCGGAUUCUCCCGGAGAACUCUUUCUCUCUCAACCCGAAUGACCCUGGCCAGGGAUUUGUCUGAGCAAGAACACAUAGGAUAUUCCUCUCAUGACGCCGAGAGUGGAUGAUCCUCUAUCGAUACUCAAUAGCCCUCGUAAGGUCGACUACCACUCCCAAUGACCAGCUAUACUAGAUCUGGGACAGCCAAACCUAUAAGUCUGGUAUCAAAGAGUGGAGCACUCAUACAGGACAUCCUUGGUGUCUCAAGUCUAAGG